GCUUUCUGUAAUGAUGUUUCAAAGAUAUGUUUCUCAUUUCAUUGGAAUGCUCAUGAUAGACUGAUGGUCAUCUGCGUCAACAGCACUAAAGGAGCACAACAGAAGAUUAUCGGACAGAAGAUUAUCGUUGGUGGGGGGAGGGAAGCUUGGCCACCAGCAAUAAUUUAAUCACCUAUCCGAUUGCCAACAGUUCCGAGGACUGAAAUGCCACAGUACUCAAACUUUGGUCAUAAUUGCCUGCUUUGUCGAUUCCAUUCCUUGACGUUGCUUUCAUUAUCUCCUUACUCAUAUCCAAGGUCAAUCGCUAUAGCUAAUCAUUCUUCGUUCAACCAAACUGCAUAUGCUCUGUUUUCCAUUGCUUUAUGUAUGAGGCAGAGGUUGGGCCUUGUUGCUACCGUCUAUGUGAAAAUGGACUGUGAUUGAGGCUGUAUUAAUGAUUUGAAUGUGCUGCAUUUCCUUUGCAAUGAUUUGGAUGUGAAUCGUUGCUUUACUUUUGCAUCUAAGCUCCCUAGCCAAAAUGUAUACCACAUGUUUGAUGAAAUUCCUGAACUAAAUAAAUGUGUAAUUCCAGGUCUUGAUUGAGAAUUUCAUUCAUUACUAGGGAUUUCAUCAAUUUUGGUCUUAUCAGCCUAGUUGUGUUCUGUUUCUUCAUUGAAAAUUAUAGGCAUUCCAUUUUGAACUUGCUUUGGAUUUGCUGGAACCUUGUCAAUACAUGCAGAUUCGCAGCUAUUGCGGCCCUGGGCUAAAGUCCAUUGAUCCUUCAUUUGAUGCUAUUCCACUCAAGACAAGUGCUCGACCGAAGAUAGCAUCUUCUGCAGGAUCAUUCUCAGUGAAUCGCCUGCAUUCAAGAUGCGAGCUUGAUGUCCUGCUGGGGUUGGCGAUCAUGUGCAGAAGAAUUACAUCCACAUAUUGUUCUCAUGUUUUGCCUAUCCGAAAACUCAAUGGAAUGGUGACUCUUCCACAUUGCACUGUUUGUCAUGCAUCAUUAAGCAUUGCUGAUGCGGCUAUGUGUUUGACAAGCAUUUUCGGAAUGUAUGACAG